rnacentral:rRNA from 1 species
UACGUAGGGCGCAAGCGUUGUCCGGAAUUAUUGGGCGUAAAGAGCUCGUAGGCGGCCUGUCGCGUCUGCUGUGAAAUCCCGGGGCUUAACCCCGGGCGUGCAGUGGAUACGGGCUGGCUGGAGGCAGGCAGGGGAGAAUGGAAUUCCCGGUGUAGCGGUGAAAUGCGUAGAUAUCGAGAGGAACACCUGCGGCGAAGGCGGGUUGCUGGGCUGAUACUGACGCUGAUGCGCGAAAGCCAGGGGAGCGAACGGG